GGCUUACACAUGCAGUCGAGGGGUAUAGUUCUUCGGAACUAGAGACGGCGCACGGGUGCGUAACGCGUAUGCAAUUCCACCUUUCACAAAUGGGAUAGCCCAUGAGAAAUUUGGAUUAAUAUCCUUAUAGUAUAUAUGAAUGGCAUCAUUUAUAUAUUAAACGAUUUAUCGGUGAAAGAUGAGCAUGCGUCCCAUUAGCUUGUUGGUAAGGUAACCGGCUUACCAAGGCAACGAUGGGUAGGGGUCCUGAGAGGAUGAUCAGCCACACUGGGACUGAGACACGGCCCAGACUCAUACGGGAGGCAGCAGUGGGGAAUUUUGGACAAUGGGGGCAACCCUGAUCCAGCCAUGCCGCGUGCGGGAAGAAGGCCUUCGGGUUGUAAACCGCUUUUGUCCGGAAAGAAAAGGCACCUCCUAAUACGGGGUGUUCUUGACGGUACCGGAAGAAUAAGCACCGG
rnacentral:rRNA from 1 species